rnacentral:rRNA from 1 species
GACGAACGCUGGCGGCGUGCUUAACACAUGCAAGUCGAACGGAAAGGCCGUGCUUUUGUGGGGUGCUCGGGUGGCGAACGGGUGAGUAACACGUGAGUAACCUGCCCUUGACUUUGGGAUAACUUCAGGAAACUGGGGCUAAUACCGGAUAGGAGCUCCUGCUGCAUGGUAGGGGUUGGAAAGUUUCAGCGGUUGGGGAUGGACUCGCGGCUUAUCUGCUUGUUGGUGGGGGAGUGGCUUACCAAGGCUUUGACGGGUAGGCGGCCUGGGAGGGUGGCCGGGCACCUUGGGACUGAGGUACGGCCCAGACUGCUAAGGGGGGCAGCAGUGGGGAAUAUUGGACAAUGGGACCAAGAGUGAUGCAGAAACGUUGGGUGUGGGAUGACGGCUUUCUGGGUGUGAAAAGCUUUCGCCUGUGACGAAGCGUGAGUGACGGUAACGAGUAAAGAAGCACCGGCUAACUACGUG